rnacentral:rRNA from 1 species
AUUGAACGCUGGCGGCAGGCCUAACACAUGCAAGUCGAACGGUAACAGGAAGCAGCUUGCUGCUUUGCUGACGAGUGGCGGACGUGUGAGGAAUGUCUGGGAAACUGCCCGAUGGAGGGGGAUAACUACUGGAAACGGUAGCUAAUACCGCAUAACGUCGCAAGACCAAAGAGGGGGACCUUAGGGCCUCUUGCCAUCGGCUGUGCCCAGAUGGGAUUAGCUAGUAGGUGGGGUAACGGCUCACCUAGGCGACGAUCCGUAGCUGGUCUGAGAGGAUGACCAGCCACACUGGAACUGAGACACGGUCCAGACUCCUACGGGAGGCAGCAGUGGGGAAUAUUGCACAAUGGGCGCAAGCCUGAUGCAGCCAUGCCGCGUGUAUGAAGAAGGCCUUCGGGUUGUAAAGUACUUUCAGCGGGGAGGAAGGGAGUAAAGUUAAUACCUUGGCUCAUUGACGUUACCCGCAGAAGAAGCACCGGCUAACUCCGUG